rnacentral:rRNA from 1 species
UGCAUGUUGAACGGGAUGUAGUGAUACAUUCAGUAGUGAAUGGGUGAGUAACACGUACCUAACCUACCUUUAAGACUGGGAUAACUAUUGGAAACAAUAGCUAAUACCGGAUAUAGUUAUUUAUCGCAUGAUGAGUAAUAGAAAGGAGCUUCACAGCUUCACUUAAAAAUGGGGGUGCGGAACAUUAGUUAGUUGGUAGGGUAAUGGCCUACCAAGACGAUGAUGUUUAGCCGGGCCGAGAGGCUGUACGGCCACACUGGGACUGAGAUACGGCCCAGACUCCUACGGGAGGCAGCAGUAAGGAAUUUUCCACAAUGAGCGAAAGCUUGAUGGAGCGACACAGCGUGCAGGAUGAAGUUCUUCGGAAUGUAAACUGCUGUUAUAAGGGAAGAAAAAAUAGAAUAGGAAAUGAUUUUAUCUUGACGGUACCUUAUUAGAAAGCGACGGCAAACUAUGUGCCAGCAGCUGCGGUAAUACAUAGGUCGCAAGCGUUAUCCGGAAUUAUUGGGCGUAAAGCGUCCGUAGGUUUUUUGCUAAGUCUGGAGUUAAAUGCUGAAGCUCAACUUCAGUCCGCUUUGGAUACUGGCAAAAUAGAAUUAUAAAGAGGUUAGCGGAAUUCCUAGUGAAGCGGUGGAAUGCGUAGAUAUUAGGAAGAACACCAAUAGGCGAAGGCAGCUAACUGGUUAUAUAUUGACACUAAGGGACGAAAGAGUCGGGAGCAAACAGGAUUAGAUACCCUGGUAGUCCACGCCGUAAACGAUGAUCAUUAGUUGGUGGAAUAAUUUCACUAACGCAGCUAACGCGUUAAAUGAUCCGCCUGAGUAGUAUGCUCGCAAGAGUGAAACUUAAAGGAAUUGACGGGGGCCCGCACAAGCGGU